AUGAGACCCAUGGCUUCCUCCUGGAACUGGAAGUUGCUUUCCCUCGUCUUCCUGCUGGCUAGCACGGCGGCGUGGGGCAUGGCCCACGCCCACGGCGGCGGGCUCAAGCACAUCCACCUGUACAUGCACGAGACCUUCACGGGCCCGAACGCCACGCUGUUUGCGGUGGUGCCGCCCCUGCUGGGCGUGGGCGACAACACCAGCAUGUUCGGGAUGGUCGGAGUGCUGGACGACGAGCUACGCGACGGCUCAGACCCGAGCAACUCAUCGCUGGUGGGGCGGUUCCAGUCCCUCUUCGCCUUCGCGGGGCUGGUGACGCCACCAGGCAUGCAGACGGCGACCAGCCUCGUGUUCACGGCCGGGGAGCACGCCGGGAGCACGCUGGUUAUGGUGGGCAGCAUCGUAAGCUCAGAGGGGCCCUACGAGACCGCCGUGGUGGGCGGCACCGGCGCCUUCAGGAUGGCGCGCGGGUACUGCGUUCUCAAGGCCGUGUGGAGCCCGACGCCGGUGUCCACCGUUUACGAGGUAAACCUGUUGGUGAAGAUGGAGGGAAAACUUUUGGCCAAGAUGGAUGCCUGGAAACGUACUACGUAUGCACUGUGA
rnacentral:rRNA from 1 species